GCAGUCGUGACCGAGUGGUUAAGGCGAUGGACUAGAAAUCCCCACACAGGUUUGAAUCCUGUCGACUCCA
rnacentral:tRNA from 1 species